rnacentral:RNase_P_RNA from 1 species
GCAGAGGAACAGGUGUUCGUCGGCGGUGGGGGUACCCCCCCGCGGGAGGAAAGUCCGAGCUUCACAGGGCAGGGUGCCGGGUAACGCCCGGUGGGAGCAAUCCCGAGGAAAGUGCCACAGAAAACGCAGACCGCCUCCGCACGCACGAGCGUCCGGCGGCAAGGGUGAAACGGUGGGGUAAGAGCCCACCGCGCCCCUGGUAACAGAGGCGGCACGGCAAACCACACCCGAAGCAAGGCCAUGUAAGGGGGCGCUUGAGGGUUGCCCGCCCAAGCUCCCGGGUAGGCUGCUGGAGGCCUGCGGCGACGCAGGUCCUAGAGGAAUGAGCACCACCGCGCCGAGGGCGACCGGAGCGCGGGACAGAACUCGGCUUAUGGUCUUCUGCGGCC